rnacentral:lncRNA from 1 species
UUCAUUAAACGCAUCGAGGUGCCCAUGUCGCUAUGCAGUCGUCAUCCCACAGGUCAUCCCUCUAGCUCCGGGGCCAACAGCAUCCAGCACCGAGGUUCAUGCCCUUGGCCGCUCCAUCUCAAAGGUGCUGGUACCCUCCCCCACCCCUAGUGUGCAACGCCUGCCCUCCUGCCCAUCUCAUUGCUGCUACUUCCGGGUCUUUUCCUUUUCCUCUCCUGGAAGUGUCUGCCUGUCUUGUCACUGACAAAGGGGAGAGGCCUGACUUCAUAUCCAGGAACCUCCUAGGAUGGGCCUGGGCUGGAGGUGAAGGGAUUCUAAGCCUCUGUGUCCCUGGGAUUCCACAGACAGAGUUUGCUCGCUAUGAGAAUGGUCACUAUUUGUACCGCAUCCACCGGUCCCCACUCUGUGAGUACAUGAUCAACUUUAUCCACAAGCUGAAGCACUUACCAGAGAAGUACAUGAUGAACAGCGUGCUGGAGAACUUCACCAUCCUGCAGGUGGUCACCAACCGAGACACACAGGAGACCUUGCUGUGUAUUGCAUAUGUCUUCGAAGUUUCAGCCAGCGAACAUGGGGCUCAGCACCACAUCUACUGCCUGAGGAAAGAAUGAGAGACUUGGAGAGCUAUGGUGGGGGAAA